rnacentral:lncRNA from 1 species
AUCACACACUCCUCAGCCCCAGCUAAUGAAUAUCACCACCAGCACCACCAGCCCAACUACAGAUCACGGCAUAAAGCGGGAAAGUGUUCAUUCUGUGCAAAACCAAGGGUGGCAAAGAAGGCAGCUUCCAAUCAGUGGAAAUGGAAUAAUUGAAUAAAUGUGUUCUUUUUUAAAAGCGAGAGGGUGUAGUAGAGAAUCUAAUUUGGACAGAUGACAAGGAGAAUGACUUCUCAUAGUUCACGCUAAAGGUGGCCCCCCAAAUAAGUAGCACCCAGACCCUGGUGAGAACAGUCACCUUUCUUGUAGGAUUACAGCUGGCCACAAAGUCACGAGUGCCACCGGCUGAAUGUGGUCAGAUCACGUUCCCAUGUGUGCUGAAAGUUCUAGGCAAGGGAUGAGAGGGGUCUCGGACAACUUGAUGCCUACCAGAGGAGCUCCCGGUGGCAGAAUGAACUACUCACCUUCCUUCCAGAUCGCAGCAGGCUCUGUGAAAGGGAUCAGGAAGGUUUCUACUAUCUGUCCCCUGCACCAAUCCAAAGUUGAACGGACACUUCCACUCCCAAGCCCCCAGCAGCCCCCGUUCUCCAAAGCUUUAGAAUUCCUGGUCGCUUACUCAAAAAGAUGAGUGAUUCAUGCCUGGAAUUCCUGUGCUUCUUUAUAAUCUACAGAGCAGUUGUUUUGGGGAACUUUGAAUUCAUCUUGGUUUGAGUUUUGCGGAAAGGAAUAGAUUACUCUUCUUCCCCAAUAAAAUACAUUCCC